rnacentral:rRNA from 1 species
UACGAAGGGGGCUAGCGUUGUUCGGAAUUACUGGGCGUAAAGCGCACGUAGGCGGAUACUUAAGUUAGGGGUGAAAUCCCAGGGCUCAACCCUGGAACUGCCUUUAAUACUGGGUAUCUUGAGUUCGAGAGAGGUGAGUGGAAUUCCGAGUGUAGAGGUGAAAUUCGUAGAUAUUCGGAGGAACACCAGUGGCGAAGGCGGCUCACUGGCUCGAUACUGACGCUGAGGAGCGAAAGCGUGGGGAGCGAACAGG